rnacentral:rRNA from 1 species
AUCAGUGGCGAACGGGUGAGUAACACGUGAGUAACCUGCCCAUGGCUCUGGGAUAACCUGGGGAAACCGAGGCUAAUACCGGAUAUGACGCGCACAGGCAUCUGUUGCGUGUGGAAAGUUUUUCGGCCAUGGAUGGGCUCGCGGCCUAUCAGCUUGUUGGUGGGGUAAUGGCCUACCAAGGCGACGACGGGUAGCCGGCCUGAGAGGGUGAUCGGCCACACUGGGACUGAGACACGGCCCAGACUCCUACGGGAGGCAGCAGUGGGGAAUAUUGCGCAAUGGGCGAAAGCCUGACGCAGCGACGCCGCGUGAGGGAUGAAGGCCUUCGGGUUGUAAACCUCUUUCAGCUCUGACGAAGCGAAAGUGACGGUAGGAGCAGAAGAAGCACCGGCUAACUACGUGCCAGCAGCCGCGGUAAUACGUAGGGUGCAAGCGUUGUCCGGAAUUAUUGGGCGUAAAGAGCUCGUAGGCGG